GGAAAUCUCACCAGGCCCGGACACUGGAAGGAUUGACAGAUUGAUAGCUCUUUCUUCAGUGGGUGGUGGUGCAUGGCCGUUCUUAGUUGGUUGAGUGAUUUGUCUUGUUAAUUCCGAUAACGAACGAGACCUUAACCUGCUAAAUAGUGACGCGGUUCAUCGAACCGUGGGCCACUUCUUAGAGGGACUAUCGGAUUCAAACCGAUGGAAGUGUGAGGCAAUAA
rnacentral:rRNA from 1 species